rnacentral:rRNA from 1 species
AAACUUUCAGCAAUGGGAUGUCUUUGG